rnacentral:lncRNA from 1 species
CUCUUCAUGCCACUGGCCGAGCUCCUAUCAGGCGUUUGAAGGAGGCAGGUUCUAAGGAUUUGUAUCCUGAUGGCUGCUGAACCAUCUGCUCCAGAUUCAAGGGCGGCCGUCCUCAGGAGACCCCGACACUUCACAUCCCUGGUAGGAUAUGAGGCCCGGCCCAAUGGACCAUCAGAGAAGGGCGUGGACUCUGAGCCUCAGAAGCAGGAGCUGACAGAGAAGAACCAAGUGUGCUGGCGCGUGUGCAGACAGGUUCCUGGAGCAAGAGUGAGGAGAACAGGGUCCCAUCACUGGGACACUUUAGGUAAGUCACUACCCUUCCAUCAGCCUUGUCUAUACAGCAGGAUAACAGUACGCACUGCUGCCGACCACCCAGGAAUACUCUGGAGUUUAAGUGUGAUCCCAUGUGGGAAAGCAAUCCGUGGUCGUAGGUGGGAGGAAGAAUCAGUGAACUUUAGAGUAAUUACGUUAACAGAGACACCCCAGAUAUCAUGAACUCUGCGUGGUAGACAUCAAAUUAAUAGCACACAAACAUCAGCUCUUUAGGUUAGGAUUUCUCGAAGUGUGGUCCUUGGACCACUUCAUUAAAAUCAUCAGGAAGCGCUUGUUAAAAUUGCAGGUUUGUGGGCCCACCCUAGGUCUGCUGAAGCAAAAACAGGGAAGUGGAAUGGGAGGUGUCUCCAUUCUGAGUAAUAUUUCCAGUUGUUUCUGGUACUCAUCCAAGUUUAAAAAGCACUGCUAUGGAUUUGCAACAAACACUUUUUAAAAGUUUGAAUCCUUUGAUGUGUAAUUUCCUUGUCAACUUCUUCUGCAAUGCAGCUUUAAAUAUCUUUGUCCUCUCUGGAAUGUCAGAUAGGUAGCACUUCCUUCAUUUAUGUAAUAUUAAGUCAGUGAUCUAUGUGUGAGGCACUGAACUAGGCACUGAGGUCACAGCUCAGAGAACAAGACAGGCAGGGUCCCUGGAGUUUGAGUCUAGUUUGGGAAAACUGGCAAUGAGCAGGUAAAUAAAUCAAUAAGGAUUGCAAUUCCA